rnacentral:rRNA from 1 species
UACGAAGGGGGCUAGCGUUGCUCGGAAUCACUGGGCGUAAAGGGCGCGUAGGCGGCUGAUCAAGUCGGGGGUGAAAGCCCGUGGCUCAACCACGGAAUGGCCUUCGAUACUGGUUGGCUUGAGACCGGAAGAGGACAGCGGAACUGCGAGUGUAGAGGUGAAAUUCGUAGAUAUCUGGAGGAACACCGGUGGCGAAGGCGGCAUCCUGGACCGGCAUUGACGCUGAGGCGCGAAAGCCAGGGGAGCAAACGGG